rnacentral:rRNA from 1 species
UAGAGCCGGGUUGGGUUAAAGGAAGCUUCUAAUCAGAAUGUCUACAUUUUAAGAUUAGAUCUCAAAUCAGGUAGGACUACCCGCUGAACUUAAGCAUAUCAAUAAGCGGAGGAAAAGAAACUAACAAGGAUUCCCCUAGUAGCGGCGAGCGAAGCGGGAAGAGCUCAAAUUUAUAAUCUGGCACCUUCGGUGUCCGAGUUGUAAUCUCUAGAAAUGUUUUCCGCGUUGGACCGCACACAAGUCUGUUGGAAUACAGCGGCAUAGUGGUGAGACCCCCGUAUAUGGUGCGGACGCCCAGCGCUUUGUGAUACAUUUUCGAAGAGUCGAGUUGUUUGGGAAUGCAGCUCAAAUUGGGUGGUAAAUUCCAUCUAAAGCUAAAUAUUGGCGAGAGACCGAUAGCGAACAAGUACCGUGAGGGAAAGAUGAAAAGCACUUUGGAAAGAGAGUUAACAGUACGUGAAAUUGUUGGAAGGGAAACGCUUGAAGUCAGACUUGCUUGCCGAGCAAUCGGUUUGCAGGCCAGCAUCAGUUUUCCGGGAUGGAUAAUGGUAGAGAGAAGGUAGCAGUUUCGGCUGUGUUAUAGCUCUCUGCUGGAUACAUCUUGGGGGACUGAGGAACGCAGUGUGCCUUUGGCGGGGGUUUCGACCUCUCACACUUAG